GUGGGGAAUUUUGGACAAUGGGCGCAAGCCUGAUCCAGCAAUGCCACGUGCAGGAAGAAGGCCUUCGGGUUGUAAACUGCUUUUGUACGGAACGAAACGGUCCGGGUUAAUACCCUGGGCUAAUGACGGUACCGUAAGAAUAAGCACCGGCUAACUACGUGCCAGCAGCCGCGGUAAUACGUAGGGUGCAAGCGUUAAUCGGAAUUACUGGGCGUAAAGCGUGCGCAGGCGGUUUUGUAAGACAGGCGUGAAAUCCCCGGGCUCAACCUGGGAAUUGCGCUUGUGACUGCAAGGCUGGAGUGCGGCAGAGGGGGAUGGAAUUCCGCGUGUAGCAGUGAAAUGCGUAGAUAUGCGGAGGAACACCGAUGGCGAAGGCAAUCCCCUGGGCCUGCACUGACGCUCAUGCACGAAAGCGUGGGGAGCAAACAGGAUUAGAUACCCGUGUAGUCC
rnacentral:rRNA from 1 species